rnacentral:lncRNA from 1 species
UCGGCUCAGCCCGAGUGGCCAGGGCUGCUGCCCUCCAACUUGGAGGGCAGCAGUUCGAACCCCCACAAAAGUAUUGUGGGGGUAUUUCCUUCCUCAAUUAAUUUGAGUGAAGGUAGUCUUCUCCCUUAUCCAUGAGUGAGGAGUAGACAUCCCUCGAAUAUUUGUGAGGGUUAAAAUCUGGGCAGAGCUCUAUUAGCAAUUAUGUAAGUUGGUCCCAGUAUUAGUCUGAUUUGUAAAUAUCAGUUAUAGUCUCAUGUAUAUGAGUUGUAAUCUGAGCAAUAGUCUCAUGUAAUAAAAAAAAAAUUUAGUGAAAAAAACAUAAAUAAAUAAAUAAAAGGGUUAUUUCCACC